AAGUCGUAACAAGGUCUCCGUAGGUGAACCUGCGGAGGGAUCAUUACAAGAACGCCCGGGCUUCGGCCCGGUUAUUCAUAACCCUUUGUUGUCCGACUCUGUUGCCUCCGGGGCGGCCCCACCUUCGGGCGGGGGCUCCGGGUGGACACUUCAAACUCCUGCGUCACUUUGCAGUCUGAGUAAACUUAAUUAAUAAAUUAAAACUUUUAACAACGGAUCUCUGGGUUCUGGCAUCGAGGAAGAACGCAGCGAAAUGCGAUAAGUAAUGUGAAUUGCAGAAUUCAGUGAAUCAUCGAAUCUUUGAACGCACAUUGCACCCCCAGGAAUUCCGGGGGGCAUACCUGUUCGAGCGUCAUUUCGCCACUCAAGCCUCGCUUGGUACUCGGCAACGCGGUCCGCCGCGUGCCUCAAAUCGUCCGGGUGGGUCUUCUGUCCCCUAACCGUUGUGGAAACUAUUCGCUAAAGGGUGUUCGGGAGGCUACGCCGUAAAACAACCCCAUUUCUAAGGUUGACCUCGGAUCAGGUAGGGAUACCCGCUGAACUUAA
rnacentral:rRNA from 1 species